rnacentral:rRNA from 1 species
GAUCAUGGCUCAGGAUGAACGCUAGCGACAGGCCUAACACAUGCAAGUCGAGGGGCAGCGGAGAGGUAGCAAUACCUUUGCCGGCGACCGUCGCACGGGUGAGUAACACGUAUGCAAUACACCUGUAACAGGGGGAUAACCCGGAGAAAUCCGGACUAAUACCCCAUAAUAUGGGCUCUCCGCAUGGAGGGUCCAUUAAAGAGAGCAAUUUUGGUUACAGACGAGCAUGCGCUCCA